UGUGCCAGCAGCCGCGGUAAUACAGAGGGUGCAAGCGUUAAUCGGAUUUACUGGGCGUAAAGCGUGCGUAGGCGGCUAUUUAAGUCGGAUGUGGAAGCCCUGGGCUCAACCUGGGAACUGCAUUCGAUACUGGGUAGCUAGAGAUCGGUAGAGGGCGGCGGAAUUCCGGGUGUAGCGGUGAAAUGCGUAGAUAUCCGGAGGACACCGAUGGCGAAGGCAACCGCCUGGGCCUGAUCUGACGCUGAGGCACGAA
rnacentral:rRNA from 1 species